rnacentral:sRNA from 1 species
AGCGGCACGGAUGCCGCUGAUUUAAACAGAAGCGAUAUUUCGGCUUUGCCGAAAUUCGCCAUUAAAAGUGUACACGGAUGUACACUUUUAAUGAUGC